rnacentral:rRNA from 1 species
UAAGGAAUAUUGGUCAAUGGGCGGAAGCCUGAACCAGCCAUGCCGCGUGCAGGAAGACGGCCCUACGGGUUGUAAACUGCUUUUAUACGGGAAUAAACCUACUUACGUGUAAGUAGCUGAAUGUACUGUAAGAAUAAGGAUCGGCUAACUCCGUGCCAGCAGCCGCGGUAAUACGGAGGAUCCAAGCGUUAUCCGGAUUUAUUGGGUUUAAAGGGUGCGUAGGCGGCCUGUUAAGUCAGGGGUGAAAGACGGUAGCUUAACUAUCGCAGUGCCCUUGAUACUGAUGGGCUUGAAUGUACUUGAGGUAGGCGGAAUGUGACAAGUAGCGGUGAAAUGCAUAGAUAUGUCACAGAACACCAAUUGCGAAGGCAGCUUACUAAAGUAUGAUUGACGCUGAGGCACGAAAGCGUGGGGAUCAAACAGGAUUAGAUACCCUGGUAGUCCACGCCCUAAACGAUGAACACUCGAUGUUGGCGAUAUACGGUCAGCGUCUAAGCGAAAGCGUUAAGUGUUCCACCUGGGGAGUACGCCCGCAAGGGUGC